rnacentral:rRNA from 1 species
GGCCUACCAUGGUGGUAACGGGUAACGGGGUGUUAGGGCACGACACCGGAGAGGGAGCCUGAGAAACGGCUACCACAUCCAAGGAUGGCAGCAGGCGCGCAAAUUACCCAAUCCCGACACGGGGAGGUAGUGACAAUAAAUAACAAUACGGGGUUCUUAUGGAUCUCGUAAUUGGAAUGAGUACAAUUUAAAUCUCUUAACGAGGAACAAUUGGAGGGCAAGUCUGGUGCCAGCAGCCGCGGUAAUUCCAGCUCCAAUAGCGUAUAUUAAAGUUGUUGCAGUUAAAAAGCUCGUAGUUGAAUUUCGAGACCGGUUUACUGGUCGUGCUUUUGUACGUACUGGUAUUAUUGGUUUCUCCUUUCUGACGAAUCAUAAUGCCAUUAAUUUGGUGUUUUGGGGAAUCAGGACUGUUACUUUGAAAAAAUUAGAGUGUUUAAAGCAGGCUCACGCUUGAAUACAUUAGCAUGGAAUAACGAAAUAGGACGUUUGAUUUUAUUUUGUUGGUUUCUAGGAUCGACGUAAUGAUUAAUAGGGAUAGUUGGGGGCAUUAGUAUUCAAUUGUCAGAGGUGAAAUUCUUGGAUUUAUUGAAGACUAACUACUGCGAAAGCAUUUGCCAAGGAUGUUUUCAUUAAUCAAGAACGAAAGUUAGGGGAUCGAAGACGAUCAGAUACCGUCGUAGUCUUAACCAUAAACUAUGCCGACUAGGGAUCGGAUGAUGUUAAUUUUUUAAUGACUCAUUCGGCGCCUUACG